GACGAACGCUGGCGGCGUGCUUAACACAUGCAGGCCGAACGAAGAGCGAUGGAAGCUUGCUUCUAUCAAUCUUAGUGGCGAACGGGUGAGUAACGCGUAAUCAACCUGCCCUUCAGAGGGGGACAACAGUUGGAAACGACUGCUAAUACCGCAUACGAUCUAAUCUCGGCAUCGAGGAUAGAUGAAAGGUGGCCUCUACAUGUAAGCUAUCACUGAAGGAGGGGAUUGCGUCUGAUUAGCUAGUUGGAGGGGUAACGGCCCACCAAGGCGAUGAUCAGUAGCCGGUCUGAGAGGAUGAACGGCCACAUUGGGACUGAGACACGGCCCAGACUCCUACGGGAGGCAGCAGUGGGGAAUCUUCCGCAAUGGACGAAAGUCUGACGGAGCAACGCCGCGUGAGCGAUGACGGCCUUCGGGUUGUAAAGCUCUGUUAAUCGGGACGAAAGGCCUCCUUGCGAAUAGUGAGAAGGAUUGACGGUACCGGAAUAGAAAGCCACGGCUAACUACGUG
rnacentral:rRNA from 1 species